UUCGGACUGGAGUCUGCAACCCGACUCCACGAAGCUGGAUUCGCUAGUAAUCGCGCAUCAGCCACGGCGCGGUGAAUACGUUCCCGGGCCUUGUACACACCGCCCGUCAAGCCAUGGGAGCCGGGGGUACCUGAAGUGCGUAACCGCGAGGAGCGCCCUAGGGUAAAACUGGUGACUGGGGCUAAGUCGUAACAAGGUACC
rnacentral:rRNA from 1 species